GCCUUCGUGGUGUAGUUGGAAGCAUACUCAGCCCGUACUCGAGAGGUCCAGGGUUCAAAUCCUUUCGAAAGCA
rnacentral:tRNA from 1 species